GUUCUACUCCCUCCGUCCCAAAAUAAGUGUCUCAAAUUUGUCUACAUAUGGACGUAUCUAUAUACUUAAAUACGUUUAGAUACAUGUACUAUUUCGACGCUUAAUUUGGGGCGGAGGGAGUAAAUA
rfam:Brachypodium distachyon strain Bd21 chromosome 3, whole genome shotgun sequence.